ACGUAAUAGAUACCCUGGUAGUCCACGCCCUAAACGAUGUCUACUAGUUGUUGGUGGAGUAAAAUCCAUGAGUAAACGCAGCUAAACGCGUGAAGUAGACCGCCUGGGGAGUACGGUCGCAAGAUUAAAACUCAAAUGAAUUGACGGGGGCCCGCACAAGCGGUGGAUUAUGUGGAUUAAUUCGAUGCAACGCGAAAACCUUACCUGGCCUUGACAUGUAACGAACUUUCCAGAGAUGGAUUGGUGCUCGAAAGAGAGCGUUAACACAGGUGCUGCAUGGCUGUCGUCAGCUCGUGUCGUGAGAUGUUGGGUUAAGUCCCGCAACGAGCGCAACCCUUGCCAUUAAUUGCCAUCAUUUAGUUGGGCACUUUAAUGGGACUGCCGGUGACAAACCGGAGGAAGGUGGGGAUGACGUCAAGUCCUCAUGGCCCUUAUGGCCAGGGCUUCACACGUAAUA
rnacentral:rRNA from 1 species